UAUGUUGCAUGAUGUACACUGCCUUGAGUUAUACAGAAAUAAAGGGAGGGUGUAAAUCCAAUCAUCAUAGUAAGAAUAACAACAUAAAGUUUUCCUAGUAAAGCAGGAACUUGGCUUAUAAGGAAGCCUACGUAUAGCUGUAUACUUUAUGUAACUUUCUCUUUAUAAAUAACUACAGUGAAUGUUUACAAAGGGCUAACAUGCAAAAGCAAGAACAAAAAAUGAUACGAGGCUUAUCAGGAGUGCUCACAUAUUAAGAAAUUUGGGGCAUUGCAUCUCUUAGGGGAUAAGAGUUUCUUUUAGAACUGUAUUGUUUGUCUGGGAAAUAAUACUGCAGUAUUGUAGUUACUGAUACUGUAUGAAGCACAUGAGAACUCAAUUGCUUGGAAAUAAUUGAACAGACACUCUUCACCUCCAUAUUCUUUUUUUCUUACAGAUGAUUACACCAAUAUCCUUGCUAGGGGCUCCUAUUUCUCAAAGGUCUAUUCAGCAGCUUUCCCCAACCUGCCACCCAAUAUUAUCUUGCUUGUUCUGAUGGAGAAUCCUUUUCUUUUGUUCAGAAACCUGCGGCAUCUCUAUUCAGGAACAACAAUGCAGUGCCAGAAGAAUAUACUCCCAAACAACUGAGUGAUUAUUAUUAGAGAUUUCCAGAACAUGACUCAUGAUGAAGCCAGGGCUUGCCCUCUUCACAUUGUUGUCUUUCUAACCAUAUCAGUUGUGCUAGACCAGGGGUGUCAAAGUGGCGGCCCACGGACUGGAUGCGUCACACAUAGGCCACAAUACCUCAUGUGAUGGCAACGUGACAUGGCGAGUUUAACACCUGUGUGCCAGACAAUACUGUGUGUGCUUCCUUAGUGUCUCUGAGCAAUUUCAAGAAAGGAAUGAUAGUUAUAAACCUAAUAAAAAGUCAUAGAAAUGUUAUCUAUUUUUUCUAUUUAGAGUGAAGGUGGAUAGUAUAAAUGUAUGUUGAAAUUUACUAAUUUCCUUGGAAAGUAAAUUAUGCAGUCAUCAGUUUUUAGAAUUCUGAAUAUCAAUAUGUCAUUCAUGAAGAUUAAAUAUAAAAGAAUUUUCAGGCUUAAAAGCGGGGGGAGAAAAACAUGGAAAUUAUUGGCAGUUUUCGAUAUAUGAGAAGCAGAUAGAGGAAAAUAGACUAGACUGAGAAUUCAAGACAAAUCUGUGUGGAAUGCGGAUGUAACUUUGGAAGAAAAAAGGAAAGUUGCUGCAGCCGUGACUCAAUCUGAAAUAUUGCUGAUUGUUGAAGGAAUUCCAGUUUCCUUUUGAUGUGCCAUAGAAUUAUUAUUGAAAAUCUCCAAUGAUUAUUCAUUCCAAGGUAAUUCAGGCUGCAAUUUUAUAAGGUAAGAUAACCUUUAUUAUCACUUUUCUGU